UAGCAAUACUGAGCGAAGCUAGUGGCGAACGGGUGCGUAACACAUGAGUCAUCUGCCCAGAAGUGGGGAAUAGCUCGGCGAAAGCCGGAUUAAUACCGCAUGUGGUCGUAAGACCAAAGCCGGGGCAACCUGGCGCUUUUGGAGGAGCUCGUGGCCUAUCAGCUAGUUGGUGAGGUAACGGCUUACCAAGGCAACGACGGGUAGCUGGUCUGAGAGGACGACCAGCCACACUGGAACUGAGAUACGGUCCAGGCACCUACGGGUGGCAGCAGUCGAGAAUUUUUCUCAAUGGGGGAAACCCUGAAGGAGCGACGCCGCGUGGAGGAUGAAUGCUUUCGGGUUGUAAACUCCUGUCAUUUGGGAACAAGGCCUUACGUUAACUGCGUGGAGGAUUGAUAGUACCAGAAGAGGAAGAGACGGCUAACUCUGUGCCAGCAGCCGCGGUAAUACAGAGGUCUCAAGCGUUGUUCGGAUUCAUUGGGCGUAAAGGGCGCGUAGGCGGCGGGGUAAGUCUGGUGUGAAAUCUAGGAGCUCAACUCCUAAACUGCACUGGAUACUGCUCUGCUAGAGGACUGGAGAGGAGACUGGAAUUCUCGGUGUAGCA
rnacentral:rRNA from 1 species